rnacentral:rRNA from 1 species
AACGAACGCUGGCGGCAUGCCUAACACAUGCAAGUCGAACGAGACCUUCGGGUCUAGUGGCGCACGGGUGCGUAACGCGUGGGAACCUGCCCUUAGGUUCGGAAUAACUCCCCGAAAGGGGUGCUAAUACCGGAUAAUGUCUUCGGACCAAAGAUUUAUCGCCUUUGGAUGGGCCCGCGUUGGAUUAGCUAGUUGGUAGGGUAAAAGCCUACCAAGGCGACGAUCCAUAGCUGGUCUGAGAGGAUGAUAAGCCACACUGGGACUGAGACACGGCCCAGACUCCUACGGGAGGCAGCAGUAGGGAAUAUUGGACGAUGGGCGAAAGCCUGAUCCAGCAAUGCCGCGUGAGUGAUGAAGGCCUUAGGGUUGUAAAGCUCUUUUACCCGGGAUGAUAAUGACAGUACCGGGAGAAUAAGCUCCGGCUAACUCCGUG